UUUAGGGAGAAUUACAAAACCAUGCUAUUUCAUUGAAUAAAUGUGGGAAAAGGUGAUAAAAUCCCCCAAAUUAAGCACAAGAUAAAUCGCAAAAUUGGGGUUUAUCAAGGAGGUCUUGAUAAAAGUGGUAAUACAGGCAAUUCCAAUCUAUGCUAUGAAUGUCAUUAAAUUUCCAAUAUCCUUCUGCAAAAGAAUCGAAGCAGCAACAGCCAGAUUUUGGUGGUUGAAUAAUGAAAAGGAAAGAAACAUUCAUUGGAAGAGUUGGACAAAAAAUGACAAAGAGUAAAAAGAAUAGAGGCUUGGGUUUUAAAUACUUAGAAUGUCAAAAUAUAGCACACUUGGCUAAACAAGCAUGGAGGCUGCUAAAAGAGGAGGAUGCUAUAUGGGCUCGGAUUUUGAAGGCCAUUUAUUAUCCUAAUUGCAAUCUAUGGGAGGCAGAAGAAGGAAGAAACGCAUCAUGGAUAUGGAAAAGCAUGUUGGAGGGAAGAGAUUUUCUCAAAAGAAAGGGCUGGUGGAGUGUAGGAAGUGGAGCGAAAAUAGAUAUUUGGGAAGAUAACUGGGUGGCAGGAAAAGGAAAACAGGGAAUGUGUGUGGAUUGUCAACUUCGAAAAGUAUGUGAGUUGAUAAAAGAAGGAGAGGGUUGGGAUGCAAAUAAAGUUCGGGAUUUAUUUCCUGAUAACAUAGCUGAGUUAAUAAUCAAAACACUAAUUAGCCUAAUCAAUAGAAGGGAUCAUUUUGUCUGGCCGUAUAGGAGCAAAAGGUCUGGGAGACAAUUUGGAGGCUAUCGGUACCACAAAAGGUAAGAAUGUUCUUAUGGAAAGCAAUACAAGGAAUUCUGCCAGUGAAUGCUAGCUUGUAUCAUAGGAAAAUAGCAAAAACAUCGUUAUGCAAUAUAUGCUAGCAAGCGGAUGAAUCUGUUGAACAUGCAUUAUUGUUAUGCCCAUGGGCUAGAGCUGUGUGGUUUGGAUCUAGCUUACAAGUUUUGCCUACAGUUCAUAAUGUGACAUCUUUUGGGAGUUGGGUGAUGGACACAAUUGAAAAGAUCAAGAGGGAGACUGGGAAGGACCAGGAAAAUAUUUUAUGCAAAUUGGGAUGUGUGUGUUGGUGCAUAUGGAAAGAUAGAAACCAGCACAUAUUUCCGCAAUCACAAGUCAAACCAGAAAAAGUAAUAUUCACUUCAGAACAUCUAGCAGCAGAAGUUUAUAAUGUAAUUGAGAAAAUUAACAAUGAAAAUAUAUCAGAAGCAGGCAGGAGCACAGAGAAGAAGAGAGUUACUUGGAGGCCUCCGCCCAAGGAUUGGUUAAAGGUGAACACUGAUGCGGCUUUUCACAGGAAAACAUGCAUGGCAGCUUCAGCAGUGGUAGCCAGGGACUAGUGAG